UGAUGAUUGUAGUGGGAGAAAUAUUUAAAAAUUUUGAUUAAAUAUUGAGAUUAUGUAUAAAAGGAUCGCAAGAGAUUAUGACAUAUGGAGUUUGAAAUAUGAUGGAUAAUCUAUAGAUCAUGAUAUGAUUAGUUAGAUCUUGAUCGAAAAUAAUCACAAAAGGAUUGACAUAAAAUUUUAUUGUGCAUUAUAGUUAUUAAUUUGAUCAUUGGUUAUUCAAGUGAAU
rnacentral:lncRNA from 1 species